rnacentral:sRNA from 1 species
CUCUGACUUUUCUCUACUUUUCCACCACUUCCCACUGUUGAAAUUUCAAAUAGGUAGUGUGCUUUCGUUCACGGAGUUGAGAGCUUCCCAUUCAUCCGAUUAAAAUUCUGCUUUGGACGGAUGAAGAGGAGGUGUCUGUGGAGCAAGCGCUGGAAGAAGGUGAUGCUGCAGCUUAGUAUGUCUAGGAUAUUGAUUAGUAGUAUUAUUCUGAUGAUAAUUCACAGUGGUCCUUUAUGUUUAAGAGACCAACUCUGAUUUUAUUUUGGAUGACUGUAA